rnacentral:rRNA from 1 species
UACGUAGGUGGCGAGCGUUGUCCGGAUUUACUGGGCGUAAAGAGCGCGCAGGCGGUCGUUCAAGUCGCGUGUGAAAGCCCCCCGGCUCAACUGGGGAGGGUCACGCGAUACUGAUCGACUCGAAGGCAGGAGAGGGUAGUGGAAAUUCCCGGUGUAGUGGUGAAAUGCGUAGAUAUCGGGAGGAACACCAGUGGCGAAGGCGACUACCUGGCUCAUUACUGACGCUGAGGCGCGAAAAGCGUGGGGAGCAAACAGG